GCACCCAUAGCUCAAUUGGAUAGAGCAUCUGACUACGGAUCAGAAGGUUAGAGGUUCGAGUCCUCUUGGGUGUACCA
rnacentral:tRNA from 1 species